rnacentral:misc_RNA from 1 species
GAUGAAGAACGUAGUGAAAUGCGAUAAGUAAUGUGAAUUGCAGAAUUCAGUGAAUCAUCGAAUCUUUGAACGCACAUUGCGCCCGCCAGUAUUCUGGCGGGCAUGCCUGUUCGAGCGUCAUUACAACCCUCAGGCCCCCGGGCCUGGCGUUGGGGAUCGGCGGAGCCCCCCGUGGGCACACGCCGUCCCCCAAAUACAGUGGCGGUCCCGCCGCAGCUUCCAUCGCGUAGUAGCUAACACCUCGCGACUGGAGAGCGGCGCGGCCACGCCGUAAAACACCCAACUCUUCUGAAGUUGACCUCGAAUCAGGUAGGAAUACCCGCUGAACUUAAGCAUAUAAUAAGCGGAGGA